AUGAACGCUGGCGGCGUGCCUAAUACAUGCAAGUCGAGCGAACAGAUGAGGAGCUUGCUCCUCUGACGUUAGCGGCGGACGGGUGAGUAACACGUGGAUAACCUACCUAUAAGACUGGGAUAACUUCGGGAAACCGGAGCUAAUACCGGAUAAUAUAUUGAACCGCAUGGUUCAAUAGUGAAAGACGGUUUUGCUGUCACUUAUAGAUGGAUCCGCGCCGCAUUAGCUAGUUGGUAAGGUAACGGCUUACCAAGGCGACGAUGCGUAGCCGACCUGAGAGGGUGAUCGGCCACACUGGAACUGAGACACGGUCCAUACUCCUACGGGAGGCAGCAGUAGGGAAUCUUCCGCAAUGGGCGAAAGCCUGACGGAGCAACGCCGCGUGAGUGAUGAAGGUCUUCGGAUCGUAAAACUCUGUUAUUAGGGAAGAACAAAUGUGUAAGUAACUAUGCACGUCUUGACGGUACCUAAUCAGAAAGCCACGGCUAACUACGUG
rnacentral:rRNA from 1 species